UCUUUCGGGAUCUUGAGAGCGGCGUACGGGUGCGGAACACGUGUGCAACCUGCCUUUAUCAGGGGGAUAGCCUUUCGAAAGGAAGAUUAAUACCCCAUAAUAUUUUGAGUGGCAUCACUUGAAAUUGAAAACUGAGGUGGAUAAAGAUGGGCACGCGCAAGAUUAAAUAGUUGGUGAGGUAACGGCUCACCAAGUCGAUGAUCUUUAGGGGGCCUGAGAGGGUGAUCCCCCACACUGGUACUGAGACACGGACCAGACUCCUACGGGAGGCAGCAGUGAGGAAUAUUGGACAAUGGGUUAGCGCCUGAUCCAGCCAUCCCGCGUGAAGGACGACGGCCCUAUGGGUUGUAAACUUCUUUUGUACAGGGAUAAACCUACCCUCGUGAGGGUAGCUGAAGGUACUGUACGAAUAAGCACCGGCUAACUCCGUGCCAGCAGCCGCGGUAAUACGGAGGGUGCAAGCGUUAUCCGGAUUUAUUGGGUUUAAAGGGUCCGUAGGCGGAUGCGUAAGUCAGUGGUGAAAUCUCACAGCUCAACUGUGAAACUGCCAUUGAUACUGCGUGUCUUGAGUGAGGUUGAAGUAGCUGGAAUAAGUAGUGUAGCGGUGAAAUGCAUAGAUAUUACUUAGAACACCAAUUGCGAAGG
rnacentral:rRNA from 1 species